rnacentral:rRNA from 1 species
ACAUGCAAGUCGAACGGGAUUAUUUUUGUAGCAAUACAGAAAUAAUUCAGUGGCGAACGGGUGCGUAACACGUGGGCAAUCUGCCGAAAAGUGGGGGAUAGCUCGCCGAAAGGCGAAUUAAUACCGCAUGUGGUGAGGGACGACAUCUUCCUGAAUCCAAAGCCGGGGUCAAACCUGGCGCUUUUUGAGGAGCCCGCGGCCUAUCAGCUAGUUGGUGAGGUAACGGCCCACCAAGGCUUUGACGGGUAGCUGGUCUGAGAGGACGACCAGUCACACUGGAACUGAGACACGGUCCAGACACCUACGGGUGGCAGCAGUCGAGAAUUUUUCUCAAUGGGGGAAACCCUGAAGGAGCGACGCCGCGUGGAGGAUGAAGGCUUUCGGGUUGUAAACUCCUGUCAUUUGGGAACAAGUUGCGAGUAUUAACCGUGCUCGCAUUGAUAGUACCAGAAGAGGAAGGGACGGCUAACUCUGUGCCAGCAGCCGCGGUAAUACAGAGGUCCCAAGCGUUGUUCGGAUUCAUUGGGCGUAAAGGGUGCGUAGGUGGCGCUGUAAGUCGGGUGUGAAAUUUCGGAGCUUAACUCCGAAACUGCAUUCGAUACUGCGGUGCUUGAGGACUGGAGAGGAGACUGGAAUUCAUGGUGUAGCAGUGAAAUGCGUAGAGAUCAUGAGGAAGACCAGUGGCGAAGGCGGGUCUCUGGACAGUUCCUGACACU